rnacentral:rRNA from 2 species
CUUUAAGACUGGGAUAACUAUUGGAAACAAUAGCUAAUACCGGAUAUAGUUAUUUAUCGCAUGAUGAGUAAUAGAAAGGAGCUUCACAGCUUCACUUAAAAAUGGGGGUGCGGAACAUUAGUUAGUUGGUAGGGUAAUGGCCUACCAAGACGAUGAUGUUUAGCCGGGCCGAGAGGCUGUACGGCCACACUGGGACUGAGAUACGGCCCAGACUCCUACGGGAGGCAGCAGUAAGGAAUUUUCCACAAUGAGCGAAAGCUUGAUGGAGCGACACAGCGUGCAGGAUGAAGUUCUUCGGAAUGUAAACUGCUGUUAUAAGGGAAGAAAAAAUAGAAUAGGAAAUGAUUUUAUCUUGACGGUACCUUAUUAGAAAGCGACGGCAAACUAUGUGCCAGCAGCCGCGGUAAUACAUAGGUCGCAAGCGUUAUCCGGAAUUA